rnacentral:lncRNA from 1 species
GAUGUCAAUUGGUGUCCUAUUUUGAUUCAAGGUUCCAUAUAGAUAGCUCUCACACUGGGGUCAAGUACAUCUCCUGAUUGAACCAUCCUCUACUAACUCAGAAAUGGGAACAUGAGUAAAAACCAGUUUUCACUAAGAUGAACUGAUGUAUGAGUUCAGAGGUGGAAAAGACUGCUCCCAGAAGAGUGUUGGUUAGCUUCAUAAAUA